UACGUAGGUGGCAAGCGUUAUCCGGAUUUACUGGGUGUAAAGGGCGUGUAGGCGGGAAAGCAAGUCAGAUGUGAAAACCAUGGGCUCAACCUGUGGCCUGCAUUUGAAACUGUUUUUCUUGAGUACUGGAGAGGCAGACGGAAUUCCUAGUGUAGCGGUGAAAUGCGUGGAUAUUAGGAGGAACACCAGUGGCGAAGGCGGUCUGCUGGACAGCAACUGACGCUGAGGCGCGAAAGCGUGGGGAGCAAACAGG
rnacentral:rRNA from 1 species